UACAGAGGUCCCGAGCGUUGUUCGGAUUUACUGGGCGUAAAGGGUGCGUAGGUGGCGCGGCAAGUCUGAUGUGAAAUCUCCGGGCUCAACCCGGAAACGGCAUUGGAAACUGCCGGGCUGGAGGAUCGGAGGGGGGACUGGAAUUCCCGGUGUAGCAGUGAAAUGCGUAGAUAUCGGGAGGAACACCGGUGGCGAAGGCGGGUCCCUGGACGAAUCCUGACACUGAGGCACGAAAGCUGGGGGAGCAAACAGG
rnacentral:misc_RNA from 1 species